rnacentral:rRNA from 1 species
UAGUCCACGCCGUAAACGAUGUCAACUAGCCGUUUGGGACACUAAGUCCUUGGUGGCGCAGCUAACGCGAUAAGUUGACCGCCUGGGGAGUACGCCGGCAACGGUAAAACUCAAAGGAAUUGACGGGGGCCCGCACAAGCGGUGGAUUAUGGGGUUUAAUUCGUCAAUAAGCGAGUAACCUUACCCAGACUUGACAUCCUAUUCGUACCUUUUAGAAAUAAUUGGGUCGGUUCGGCCGGAAUAGUGACAGGCGUUGCAUGGUUGCCGUCAGCUCGUGCCUUGAGGUGUUCGGUUAAGUCCGUUAACGAGCGCAACCCUCGUCGUAUGUUGUAUUUUCAUGCGAGACUGCCCGUUACAAACGGGUAGGAAGGUGAGGAUGACGUCAAAUCAGCAUGACCCUUAUGUCUGGGGCUACACCCGUAAUACAAUGGCUAGUACAAACUGAAACGAAACCGUAAGGU